CCUACGGGAGGCAGCAGUGAGGAAUAUUGGUCAAUGGACGAGAGUCUGAACCAGCCAAGUAGCGUGAAGGAUAACUGCCCUAUGGGUUGUAAACUUCUUUUAUAUGGGAAUAAAAUGUUCCACGUGUGGGAUUUUGUAUGUACCAUAUGAAUAAGGAUCGGCUAACUCCGUGCCAGCAGCCGCGGUAAUACGGAGGAUCCGAGCGUUAUCCGGAUUUAUUGGGUUUAAAGGGAGCGUAGGUGGAUUGUUAAGUCAGUUGUGAAAGUUUGCGGCUCAACCGUAAAAUUGCAGUUGAAACUGGCAGUCUUGAGUACAGUAGAGGUGGGCGGAAGUCGUGGUGUAGCGGUGAAAUGCUUAGAUAUCACGAAGAACUCCGAUUGCGAAGGCAGUUCACUGGACUGCAACUGACACUGAGGCUCGAAAGUGUGGGUAUCAAACAGGAUUAGAUACCCUUGUAGUC
rnacentral:rRNA from 1 species